rnacentral:rRNA from 1 species
ACUCUCGACAAUGGAUAUCUCAGCUCUCGCAUCGAUGAAGAACAUAGCGAAAUGCGAUACUUGGUGUGAAUUGUAAAAUCCCAUGAAUCAUCAAUUCUUUGAAUGCAAGUUGUGCCCUAAGCCACUAGGCUGAGGGCACACCUACUUAAGUGUCAUGCACCAUUGUCCCAUCUCUGACCCCCUAGCUUGUCAAGCUUGGGGGGAGGGAAGGGGUGAAAGAUAGCCUUCUGCGAUUCGAUUAGUCAUGGUUGGCCCAAAAAUGAUACCCCGACAAUGAUAGUGCUAUGACCAUCAGUGGUAAAGCUCCCAACCUGUAUUGUCUCUAGUGAUGCAUGCUUGUUGUCCACCUAGACCCUAUCGGACCCCCUACAUUACUUGGUCAAUGCUUACGCCAUGACCCUAGGUCAGGUGGGAUCACCUGUUGAGUUUAAGCAUAUCAAUAAGUAGAGGAAAAAAAACUUACUAGGAUUCCCUUAGUAAUGGUAAACGAAUCGAAAAGAGCCCAACUUGAGAAUCGGGUACCCCUGACAUCUAAAUUGUAGUCUGGAGAAGCAACCUAAUGGUGGUUCAGGCCCAAGUCCCCUAGAAAGGGGCACUGGAGAGGUCGAGAGCCCCAUUGUGCUUAGACCCUAUCACACCAUAAGGCACUAUCUAUGAGUCAGAUUGUAUAGGAAUGCAGCCUCAAUCAAGCAAUAAAUUCCAUCUAAGGCUGAAUACAAGCAAGAGAUCGAUAGCGAACAAGUACCAUAAGGGAAAGAUGAAAAGGACUUUGAAAAGAGAGUCAAAAAGUGCCUUAAAUUGUCGAGAGGGAAAGUAUAUAGAGGUCGACGAUGCACCUUGGAUGGAUGUGGACCACACGGGUUAGACAGUGGCCCAAGCCCGAGCUUUCGAUAUGCUCGCGGAGAUGUUGUCAUCGAGAUCGUGAAACAUAUCACACAUCAUCUCAGCGUGCCCCGACAUUGGCAUGCUCAUAGAGUCAACAUGUGGGCUCCUUAUCCAACCCGUUUUGAAACACAAACUAAAGAGUCUAACAUGUGUGUGAGUCAAUGGGCUAGAAAACCCAUAAGGCAUAAGAAAGCUAAUUGGUGGGAUCCCUCACGGGUGCACCACUAACCGACCUUGAUCUUUUGAGAAGGGUUUGAGUGCGAGCAUGCUUGUCAAGACUUGAAAGAUGGUGAACUAUGCCUAAGUGAGGUGAAGCCAUAGGAAACUUUGGUGGAGACCCACAGUGAUACUAAUGUGCAAAUUGUUCAUCUGACUUAGGUAUAAGGGCAAAAGACUAAUCAAACUAUCUAGUAGUUGGUUCCUUCCUAAGUUUCUCUCAGGAUAGCUAAAGCCCUUAGUGAGUUCUAUCGGGUAAAGCCAAUGAUUAGAGGCAUCAGGGGCACAAUGCCCUCGACCUAUUCUCAAACUUUAAAUAGGUAGGACAACGUGGCUGCUUCACUGAGCCACGCCACAAAAUCGAGAACUCCAAGUGGGCCAUUUUUGGUAAGCAAAACUAGCAAUGUAGGAUGAACCAAAAGCUAGGUUACGGUGCCCAAGUGUGCGCUAACCUAGAACCCACAAAGGGUGUUGGUCAAUUAAGAUAGCAGGAUGGUGGUCAUGGAAGUCAAAAUCCAUUAAGGAGUGUGUAACAACUCACCUGCCAAAUCAACUAGCCCUGAAAAUGGAUAGCGCUUAAGCGCACAACUUAUACCCAACCAUCAAGGCAUGGGCCAAGCCCCGAUGAGUAGAAGGGUACAGAGGUCAUCGUAAAACUUAGAGUACAAGCCCAGGCAGAGCGGCUAUCGAUGCAAAUCUUGGUGGUAGUAGAAAUAUUUAAAUGAAAACUUUGAAGGCCAAAGACGGGAAAGGUUCCAUGUGAACAGUACUUGUACAUGGGUUAAUUGAUCCUAAGAGAUGGGGAAAGCUUAUCUAACAACGUGUCUAACGUGAGCUAUGAAAGGGAAUCAGGUUAAAAUUUUGGAAUCGGGACAUGACGACUAACAGCAACGUUAGAGAGUCCAAAGAUGUCAGUAAAGGCCUCGAAAAGAGUUAUCUUUUUUAUUUAACGACCUUCCACCCUAGAAGCAGCUCAACGGGAGGUAAGGUCUAGUGGUUGAAUGAGCACCACACAUUUGGUAGUGUCUGAUGCACCCCUGAUGGCCCUUGAAAAUCUAGAGGAUCGAGCACUAUCCAUGCUUGGUCAUACUUAUAAUAGCAUCAGGUCUCCUAGGUGAACAGGCUCUAGUCGAUGGAAUAAUGUAGCAAUGAAAGUCAGUUAAAUGGAACUGUAACCUCGAGAAAAGGAUUGGCUAUAAGGGCUGGGCACGGGGGUCCCAAUCCUGAACCCAUAGACUGUUGAUGCAUUGCUAGAGCUACUUUUGCAUUGAGAGUGGGUCGCUAUGUGCCAAUCGAGGGAUGAAUUAAGAGCGGCUCCUUCAGGGCCUUUCCUUGGGCAAUGAACAAUCGAUUCAAAAUUGGUACGAACAAGGGGAAUUCGACUAUUUAAUUAAAACAAAGCAUUGUGGUGGUCCCUAUGGAUGCUCAUACAAUGUGAUUUUUGCCCGAUACUUUGAAUGGAAAAGUGAAGAAAUUCAACCAAGCACGGGUAAAUGGCAGGAGUAACUAUGACUCUCUUAAGGUAGCCAAAUGCCUCGUCAUCUAAUUAGUGAUGCACAUGCAUGGAUUAUUAAGAUUCCCACUAUCCCUGUCUACUAUCUAGCGAAACCACAACCAAGGGAAUGGGCUUGGUAGAAUCAACAGGGAAAGAAGACCGUAUUGAGCUUGACUCAAGUCUGACUUUGUGAAAUGACUUGAGAAGUGUAGGAUAAGUGAGAGCCCUUGAGUGAAAUUGAAAUACCACUACCUUUAAUGUUAUUUUACUUAUUUCGUGAAUCAGAGGUGAGGCACGACCCUUUCUUUUGAUCUUAAGGCUGACCUCGGUUGGUUGAUCCAAGUGGAAGACAUUGUCAGGUGGAAAGUUUGGCUAGGGUGGCAUAUCUAUUAAAAGAUAACACAAGUGUCAUAAGAUGAGCUCAAUGAGAACAAAAAUCUCGUGUGGAACAAAAGGGUAAAAGCUCAUUUGAUUUUGAUUUCUAGUACAAAUACAAACCAUGAAAGCGUGGCCUAUCGAUCCUCUAGACCUUCAAAAUUUAAAGCUAGAGUUGUCAAAAAAGUUACCACAGGGAUAACUAGCUUGUGGUAGCCAAACGUUCAUAGCAAUGUUGCUUUUUGAUCCUUCAAUGUCAGCUUUUCCUUUUAUUGUGAAGCAGAAUUCACCAAGUGUUGGAUUGUUCACCCAUCAAUAGGGAAUGUGAGCUGGGUUUAGGCCAUCAUGAGACAGGUUAGUUUCAACCUCUUAAUGGUAGCACCACAAUAGUAAUUUAGUCUAGUACGAGAGGAACUGUUAAUUCGCACAAUUGGUCAUCGUGCUUGGUUGAAAAGCUAGUGGCACGAAGCUACCGUGCACUGGAUUAUGACUGAAUGCCUCUAAGUCUAAAUCUAGGCUAGAAGCUAU